rnacentral:tRNA from 1 species
GGUAGUAUAGCUCAGUCGGUUAGAGCGUGCGGCUGUUAAGACAGUAGAAACCGCAAGGUCGAGAGUUCAAGCCUCUCUACUACCG